rnacentral:rRNA from 1 species
AGCAGCCGCGGUAAUUCCAGCUCCAAUAGCGUAUAUUAAAGUUGUUGCGGUUAAAAAGCUCGUAGUUGAAUUUCGGGGUCAGUAGGUUGGUCGUGCCACUGGUAUGCACUGGCCUCACUGAUUCCUCCCUCUUGUAGAACCGUAAUGCCAUUAAGUUGGUGUUGCGGGGAAACAGGACUGUUACUUUGAAAAAAUUAGGGUGUUUAAAGCAGGCUAACGCUUGAAUACAUUAGCAUGGAAUAAUGAAAUAGGACGAUCGAUCCUAUUUUGUUGGUUUCUAGGAUUGACGUAAUGAUUAAUAGGGAUAGUUGGGGGCAUUAGUAUUCAAUUGUCAGAGGUGAAAUUCUUGGAUUUAUUGAAGACUAACUACUGCGAAAGCAUUUGCCAAGGAUGUUUUCAUUAAUCAAGAACGAAAGUUAGGGGAAUCGAAGACGAUCAGAUACCGUCGUAGUCUUAACCAUAAACUAUGCCGACUAGGGAUCGGAUGAUGUUAAUUUUUUAAUGUACUCAUUCGGCGCCU